GUGUGUGCCGCUGUCCCGGCGGGGGGCGGUGGGGGUUGCAGCCGCGGCUUCUUCCUUGUGCUCGGACGUUCGGGAGGCUCGCCCGCGGCGCCGCUUGCGUAGCACUCGAGGCAGGAGCUGGCGGGUGAAGCUCUCACCCUUGGAGCCGCGGCUAGAGCCAGGCGUAAGGCAGCCGUAAUCCAGCUGUGAGGCCGCAGCCGCCCGUGCACGGUGCCCUGCUGGCAGCCGCGGCGGUGCGAGGGGACGGAGGGGGCGGACUACAUAUUCCAGCAUGCCCCGCGGGAGGCUCCUUGCCGGAAGCCGCAUCCCAGGGCGCGAGGCAGGCUGGGAUCGGUAGGCGGUGGUGGCCCGCGUGGCGCUGCUGGGCCCGCGCCAUUUUGAUCCCCACCCGUUCCGGCCGGGUCUGGUGAGGGGGUGCUGCCCCUGCUGUGCCCUCAGCUGCGGCUGGGGCAGCCCCUGGCACGGUGGGACGGCCUUCAGUCCUCUGGAUUCGUGCGUGAAAUGUUGAAUAAGGUGGAGCCGCCUUGUUGACGUGGCAGAAGACAAUAACACAGCAGAAUAAAGGGAGAUAUGUUAUAAGAAAUAAACCACCCACCCCCCAAGAAAACGCACACCUCCUCCCCGGAAGCUUUUUGUGGCCUUAAGAUGCCUUUUUGUCCCCUCCAUGAAGUGCUGAUUCAUUGAACCCAUAGUACUUCUGAAAGAACAGGAAAUGCCACUAAAUAUAUCCAGGAUUCCAGGCUCUUACCUGCAAGGAAAGAUUAGGGUACGAUGGAGAGGAGGUUUUCAGCGGUGUCACGUACAUUGUACAUUAAGCCCUUCAUGGAAGGAUCAUCACAAGUAGAAGAAUACUUGGCACACACAAGUGGAUUUUCCUGAAAGCUGUAGUGGUAUGAACAGUUUCUAGUAAUGGGAAUGUGACAUGUCCUGAAGAAAGACUUCCUUGCAACAGGAAAUAUAAGAGAGAUGCUUGAAUGCUGCUUCUGAAUAGAAGGGGAAUGUUUUUUAUAGAAACAACAUAGGAACAAAUGCUUUUGGCUUAUUCAGUGAUGAAUUGGAACACUUUGUCAGAACUGCCUGACAAAUGUGGAUGAUGUAACCAGAAGGAGGUGUAACACCUGAAGAGAUGAUGUGGCUUGGAGUGGGAUGCCAUGCUUUUAAAAGCCUGCUGAAACAGCUGCAAUUUUAGAGGAUGCUGUUUUCAGAAACUGCAUGUAGACCACAAUUACUGUCUCUGCAUAUUUAAAACACUGUCUUUCCAAGCUACUGAACUGUCUUCUCUAGGAAGUAUAGCAGUAAUACUAGGGAAAAGUGUUGAGCUUCAGUACAUGGAAAACCCCUUGAUUAAUUUACCCUUUUAAAAUACCAUAUGGUACACAGUCUUGCAGAUACUGAAGAUCUGUGAUGACUCAAGAGUAGAGCUCACAGGCAGGCCCUGUAAAGACAGGGUGAAAGCAAAGAAAAAGACAAUGUCUACAGCUUGCGUCACUGUAUCUAGUGAGGGAGUGAGGAGUUGGGCAUUUGUUGACUGCCACUUCAGCAGUCAAUAAAAGAAGACUAGUACCAUAACAGUGGAACUGCCUUUUGAGGAAUACACUGGCAACAGUACUUGUUUGCUCUGUCGGGAAAAGAGGUUGGUAGUGGGAAAAGAGUUACAUACAUUAGACCUUGGGCUUCAAACAGUCACUUGAAAAGUAAUGGUGCUGUAUCCCAGUAGCAGCAUAUUUGCUGUAUUCAGCAAACUGUCAUUUCCACAGAGGAAUGAAGGAUCAUAAAUUGUUUACCAAGUAAAUUUAAAGACAACUCAUGGUGUACAAAAAAUGAAAUUGGCCUUGAAGCAUGACUGUCAAGCCUUAUUGUCAGGAAUUCUUUAUAAGGGCAGAAACACAAGAAUGGCAAAACUGAAAAUUGAUAGACACACUAUUUCUGAAUCAUUUUGAAAUGGUCUGAAAUACAUAAAACAGCCCUAUAGCUCAUGGGGUGUCCCUGUUUGUCAGUGACAAAUUCCAUGUAAAGUCCAAUUUUCUGUCAAAGCAGUAUCAUGAAGUACAAAACACUACCAGGAGCAGUAUAUAAAACAUUGGAAAUGUCAAAAAUAAGUAUCCAUCAGACUACUAAAGUGGAUGCUAAGGAUCUGACUUAACUCCAGGAGUGCAUUGGGUCAUUUAGCAUCUCCUGUGGUUUGCUUAAUAAUAAGCAGUGGCCACCUACUUUGGCUGCACCUUUUCAGCAAGGAAUGGUAAAUAAGUCUAUUAAAUACCAAGAUCUGCAGAAAUUCACUAGAAAAUAGCUUUCCAUUGCUUUCAACAGGAUUUAUUUCUGUUAACCAACAUUACUGAGAGUGGUACAUAUUUCCAUGUGCCAUGUUUUGUACAUGCUUUUGAAUAAAGAUAAUGAUGUUAACAGUCA